rnacentral:rRNA from 1 species
UACGUAGGGGGCAAGCGUUGUCCGGAAUCAUUGGGCGUAAGCGCGUGUAGGCGGCUUGGUAAGUCCGCUCUGAAAGCCCGGGGCUCAACCCCGGGAGGCGGGUGGAUACUGUCAAGCUCGAGUCCGGAAGAGGCGAGUGGAAUUCCUGGUGUAGCGGUGAAAUGCGCAGAUAUCGGGAAGAACACCCGUGGCUAAGGCGGCUACUCUCAGUACGGUACUGACGCUGAGACGCGAAAGCGUGGGAGCGAACAGGA